UAGGGAAUCUUCCACAAUGGACGCAAGUCUGAUGGAGCAACGGCCGCGUGAGUGAAGAAGGUUUUCGGACCGUAAAGCUCUGUUGUUGGUGAAGAAGGAUAGAGGUAGUAACUGGCCUUUAUUUGACGGUAAUCAACCAGAAAGUCACGGCUAACUACGUGCCAGCAGCCGCGGUAAUACGUAGGUGGCAAGCGUUGUCCGGAUUUAUUGGGCGUAAAGCGAGCGCAGGCGGAAGAAUAAGUCUGAUGUGAAAGCCCUCGGCUUAACCGAGGAAUUGCAUCGGAAACUGUUUUCUUGAGUGCAGAAGAGGAGAGUAGAACUCCAUGUGUAGCGGUGGAAUGCGUAGAUAUAUGGAAGAAUACCAGUGGCGAAGGCGGCUCUCUGGUCUGCAACUGACGCUGAGGCUCGAAAGCAUGGGUAGCGAACAGGAUUAGAUACCCUGGUAGUCCAUGCCGUAAACGAUGAGUGCUAAGUGUUGGGAGGCUUCCGCCUCUCAGUGCUGCAGCUAACGCAUUAAGCACUCCGCCUGGGGGAGUACGACCGCAAGGUUGAAAC
rnacentral:rRNA from 1 species